CCAAUACAUAUAACCCGGGAUGGCGAAAUCAUCCAAACUUUUCUUGGAAGCAGCAAGCUUCGAAUACUACCCAACCCUAUUCCCAAAAUUUUUCAAACCCUCAGAAUUUUCAAACCCCACAAAAUAUUCAUCCUUACCGUCCCUCGACUCAAUUUCAACACACUCCUCCUCCACCCCAAAGAAACACAACCUUUGAGGAGAAAGUGUUGAACGCCCUUCAAG
rnacentral:lncRNA from 1 species